rnacentral:rRNA from 1 species
GACGAACGCUGGCGGCGUGCCUAAUACAUGCAAGUCGAGCGCAGGAAACUGACGGAACUCUUCGGAGGGAAGGCAGCGGAAUGAGCGGCGGACGGGUAAGUAACACGUAAGGAACCUGCCUCAAGGAUUGGGAUAACUCCGAGAAAUCGGAGCUAAUACCGGAUAGUUCAUCGGACCGCAUGGUCCGUUGAUGAAAGGCGCUUCGGCGUCACCUUGAGAUGGCCUUGCGGUGCAUUAGCUAGUUGGUGGGGUAACGGCCCACCAAGGCGACGAUGCAUAGCCGACCUGAGAGGGUGAUCGGCCACACUGGGACUGAGACACGGCCCAGACUCCUACGGGAGGCAGCAGUAGGGAAUCUUCCACAAUGGACGAAAGUCUGAUGGAGCAACGCCGCGUGAGUGAUGAAGGUUUUCGGAUCGUAAAACUCUGUUGUAAGGGAAGAACACGUACGAGAGGAAAUGCUCGUACCUUGACGGUACCUUACGAGAAAGCCACGGCUAACUACGUGCCAGCCGCCGCUGUAAGAC